GUGCUUGCUUCGGCAGCACAUAUACUAAAAUUGAAACAAUACAGAGAAGAUUAGCAUGGCCCCUGUGCAAGGAUGACAUGCAAAUUCAUGAAGCGUUCCAUAUAAAA
rnacentral:snRNA from 1 species